CUGAGGGGGCCUAUCCAUUACAGACUGGGAACUGGGCUCAGCUCUUCUGGCCUGCAGAUGCCUAGGCCAUAAGCUAUGAGGUCUCCAGUGGCAGCUUUUAUGACAGAGCUCCCCGGCUGGUUCCUGUUUUCUGGGAUCUUUCUGCCAGUGACUGUACUGCUGUUUCUUCUUAUUGCUUACUUCAGGAUCAAAUUGAUGGAGUGUAACAAUGACGAUUCCCUCUCUACAGCUAAUGCAGAAGUGGCCCAGGCUUCUGAUCCCCGAGACAUUAACCAAGAUGACUAUCUCCAGGACCAGAGACUGAAGCAACAUGACGUUCCGAGAUCAGCCACAAAAACAAAAUGCGUUUGAAGGGAUGCAUGCUAGACUGGCAGAUAACCAGCAACAAAUUGCUGACAUCUAGGUAUAUAAAACAAAACCUCAAGGGAAACAGGAUGGUAAGAGGUUUGUCCUAUUUGCCAUCCAGCACAUGCACAGCGACUGUCAUCCAUAGAGCCUCAUUGCUUCAUUUUAUCUUCUGGGAGAUGCAGCUAAACAACAGCUUUCCUGAUUCAUCAUCAACAGUGGUUUACUAAAAUACAGUGUGAAUUUUUAACAAGAAUUCUCCCUCUUUCUUCAAUAUUUGGCUCCAGGGAAGAAAACAUCUAAUGAGUCUGUGUGAGUUUGGUGGUUUUAUAACUCCCAGGGACAAGUGUAAUUAUACACAAUAUUUACAGAAUACUAUUCAUGCUGAAGAGUCUCAAUGGAGUGGUUUUUUAAAACGUAUAUAUGCACAUAUAUAGACAGAUAUAUACAUAUGUCCAUGUAUAUCCUUGAAUUAAUAUUUUCAUCAUCUAAAAGAUGCACAACAUACUACUUUGAUUUUACUUGUGAAGAAAAUGUGACAGCAAGAUCAAAUAUCUUGCAAAAGAUGACAAAGUCAGAAAGAACUUCAUGAAGAACCCAUAUCCAAGGCCAGACCUGACAUUUCCUCUCCUGUGUUAAACUUCUAUCAAAUAUCAUUUUAUUUCAAUAGCAGUAUUACAAUCUUGCUACAUGUAUCUUUUUCCUUUGUGCUUUUAAAUAAAUUAGAACAAUGAAAAAAUAAAGGAAUUCCCCAAAAUAUGUGAAAUUUCUCCACAGUAAAUGGAUCACUUCCGUUAACUGUAGUCUCCAGUAUGUGAUAAUCCAAUCCCAAAUCAUAGCAUCCUAAAGUUUGAUGAGAAAUUAUCAUGUUUUGAGGAUUGGUGAUAGAAAGGCAGGAGGACACCCACAACAUUCAUGAAAGAAAAAACAGAAGUUCUGCCUCUUAAAUAGAAAAUCUGGAAGGUUCAUUCCAAAUAUGGCAGCUGGUAAGUGGCUAGCAUAUAGUAUGUAUUUAAUAGAAUUGGUGAGCUGACUUUAUUGAAUUGAAAGCUUCUCACAAUUUUUCUAAUUACCAUUGAAUGGAUUUUUUUUAAUGCUGCCAUUAAGUGUCAAUCUCAACCCAAUCCAAGCUCUGUACAAUGAAUCAUUCAUUAGACUGGUUGAGAAAGUUAUUUACAUUUCUGACAUGGCUUUCAGUAACAUGGGUCACAAGGGUUUUGAGUCUCAGGAUGACAGUAAUUUUACAAAAGAGAAGAAAUAUUAUUUUUGAAAGGAAUCUCUAGCCUCACUUUAUCCCAAUAGUAACUGAUGGAGUUAUAGAAUUUUAGAGCAGGAAGGGAAUUGAAGAGUAUUUAAUAACAUGAUGUUUUUUUUUCCUUUGGUGCAUUCUUCAAAUAUAUCCACUGAGCAAUUAGUCCCCAUUUACACUUCUUGAAUAAUAUAAAACUCACUGUUAAACUGGAAA